GAAUUGCAUCUAAGUAUCAAAAACAACCUCAGUAAGCUGUGACGCUUUAGUUCUCUUAAAGCCAACGAGUUAGCUAUAUGAUGCAUAUCUAAAAUAAUUGAAAAAAAGGUUUUACUUAGCAUGCUUUGUAAUAUUAAUUCAGGACAUAAAGUUCGAUGUAAAGGGUAUAGAAAAUGUCCCUGUUUUUAUUCGAAAACAGUAAACCGACAUAAUCGUCUGGAUGUUAUAAAGUUGAUGUUAAUUGUUAAUGU